GCAAGUCGAACGGCAACAUUACCUGCUUGCAGGUAGAUGGCGAGUGGCGGACGGGUGAGUAACGCGUAGGAAUCUACCCUGAAGUUGGGGACAACCCGAGGAAACUCCGGCUAAUACCGCAUGUGCUCUACGGACUAAAGGUGGCCUCUAUUCAUAGGCUAUCGCUUUGGGAUGAGCCUGCGUACGAUUAGCUAGUUGGUGAGGUAAAGGCUCACCAAGGCGACGAUCGUUAGCUGGUCUGAGAGGAUGAUC
rnacentral:rRNA from 1 species